rnacentral:rRNA from 1 species
AGUGAACGCUGGCGGCAGGCCUAACACAUGCAAGUCGAGCGGAAGAAGGGGGGGAACGCUGGUGGGGAGCGGCGGACGGGUGAGUAAUUCGUAGGAAUCUGACUUAUCGUGGGGGAUAACGUAGGGAAACGAACGCUAAUCCCGCAUACGUCCUGAGGGAGAAAGGGGGGGAUCUAUAGUCCUCAAGCGGUUAGAUGAGCCGACGACAGAUUAGCUAGUUGGUGAGGUAAAGGCCUAACAAGGCGACGAUCCGUAGCUGGCCUGAGAGGAUGAUCAGCCACACUGGAACUGAGACACGGUCCAGACUCCUACGGGAGGCAGCAGUGGGGAAUAUUGGACAAUGGGCGAAAGCCUGAUCCAGCCAUGCCGCGUGUGUGAAGAAGGUCUUCGGAUUGUAAAGCACUUUUAUUCGGGAAGAAAACCCGUGAGCUAAUACCUUCGUGUGUUGACGGUACUAAAAGAAUAAGCACCGGCUAACUUCGUG